rnacentral:tRNA from 1 species
UUGAGUGUAGUCAAAUGUGAUGGUUUAUUUACAGUAAACAGGGCCUAGUGGUACUCAAA